UCUUGCGAUAUUAUACUUUCUAUAUCAUCAUCGCUGGUCAGCCGAUUGACUUCAAUUCCUCCUUUCUCUAGUUCUACAUCUUCCAACAAAGAGAAACUGUGAUAAGAUCUAUGAUACAGCGAAGUUUGAUGGAUGCAUUCACAUACUCGUUAUUUCUGCAUUACCCUAUACAUCGAUGGGGGUUGAAUGCAAAUGACUUUCUAUCAAAGAAGAGAAAGUUGAUAUGUCGGCUCCACCAGGUUUUGUCUUACUUACAUCCGUCACUCUAAAGAAGAUGGAUAAAGGUGAAGUUUUGAUGAGUAAUAUGGUCUCUGCGGGUGCAAAUGAGUGUCUGAGGCUUAAGAGAUCUCUUAGGUACAGACCAUGGGUACACUACAGUAAAUUAGGUGAUAGCUCGGAUGAGGAAUCUACAGAUCGACAACCUCAUCAGCUUCAUCCUUAUACUGAAAGUUCGAAAAAUCUAACUGGCCUUCACAUUAUGAAAUUCACUAUAAUCACAUAUUUGUGAUCUGAAUAUUUUUGUUCUUUAUUCUCAACAUCUUCCUCCGAGACCGUGCCUUCCUAAAGGUGUUCUUCGUGGGUGUUUUAAGUGUACUAAUUGCGAAAAGGUGGUUAAGUGAUGGUGUCUGAGUCAUUCUUUCCUUUGCUCAUUUAGGUCUUAAUUAUGAUGAGAGGUUUAUGCUGUUAAAUUACGAUGUUAAUGGUGUCUUUAAACAGGUCAUGGAAAAGUGGCGUCCAGAAGCUGCACAAAGGUCUUUCCUUGAGGAUGCACCUGUUUUUUAUCCAUUUUACAGAAAUUAUAUCCAUUAUUUUUUCUUUAUUUACUAUUUCAUGUCAUCGGAGAAUGCUAUGUUGUACAAGUUUGGGUUUCUGAUCAUUUAAAACUCUAUUUGCAGGAGUUUAACGAUACACUUAAAUAUAUAGACAACAUACGUUCAAAAGCAGAGCCAUAUAGAAUUUGCAGAAUAAUUCCUUCCUCUUCAUGGAGACCUCACUGCCCUCUUAAAGAAAACAGUGUAUGAGAGACUCAACUGACUAUGAAGAUACAACUACAUCAGGUUUGCACCCAGAGGUCAUGGAAACGUCCAUAUGGUGUUGGUCUCCUUGUUGGAGGGUUGGAUGAAUCAGGAGCACACCUCUACUACAAUUUCUCAAGUGGGAACUACUUCGAAUACCAGGCCUUUUCUAUUGGUGCUCACUCACAAUCUGCUAAAACUUGUUUGGAAUGCAAAUUUGAGUCCUUCGCCAACUCUACCUGUGAUGAUCUGAUCAAAGAUGCCCUCUUUGCAAUCAAGGAAACUUUACAAGGAGAGAAGCUAACAAGCUCAAUCUGCACUGUUGCUGUUGUUGGUCUUGAAGAGGAUUUCCACAUUUUGGAUCAGAAAGCUAUGUAAGAGUUUAUCGAGUUGUUAGAGAUAAGGGAAGAGGCGCCCGUGCAAGAAGAAGCAGAAGUGCCUCCUCCAGCUCCAAUGGACAUUGGAGAUCUGUAAGAGAAGCGGUUGCAUUGCUUUGAAGUGGUGCAUUUCGUUGCUUCGAUUAUACAGAAAUGUUCAUAGGUAGAAACUGAACUCAGGAUGACAUUGUUAGUAAUGGAGAACAUUUUUGUUCAAUGCACACUUAAUGUCUCUUUCUUUGUUCAAUGUGCAAUUGAUGUCUCUUUCAGUGAAUUCUUUGCCUGAAUUUUUGGCCUGAAAAUU